rnacentral:rRNA from 1 species
UACGUAGGGUGCGAGCGUUGUCCGGAAUUAUUGGGCGUAAAGGAGCUCGUAGGUGGUUUGUCGGUCGUUGUCCGUGAAAACUCAACAGCUUAACUGUGGGCGUGCGGGCGAUACGGGCAGACUGGAGUACUGCAGGGGAGACUGGAAGUUCUGGUGGUAGCGGUGGAAUGCGCAGAGUAUCAGGAGGAACACCGGUGGCGAAGGCGG